rnacentral:rRNA from 1 species
AUUGCCCUAGUAACGGCGAGUGAAGCGGCAACAGCUCAAAUUUGAAAUCUGGCCUUCGGGUCCGAGUUGUAAUUUGUAGAGGAUGCUUUUGGUGAGGUACCUUCCGAGUUCCCUGGAACGGGACGCCAUAGAGGGUGAGAGCCCCGUCUGGUUGGAUACCGAUCCUCUGUAAAGCUCCUUCGACGAGUCGAGUAGUUUGGGAAUGCUGCUCUAAAUGGGAGGUAUAUGUCUUCUAAAGCUAAAUAUUGGCCAGAGACCGAUAGCGCACAAGUAGAGUGAUCGAAAGAUGAAAAGCACUUUGAAAAGAGAGUUAAAAAGUACGUGAAAUUGUUGAAAGGGAAGCGCUCAUGACCAGACUUGGGCUUGGUUGAUCAUCCAGGGUUCUCCCUGGUGCACUCUUCCAGCUCAGGCCAGCAUCAGUUCGCUGUGGGGGAUAAAGGCUUCGGGAAUGUGGCUCCUCCGGGAGUGUUAUAGCCCGCUGCGUAAUACCCUGUGGCGGACUGAGGUUCGCGCAUCUGCAAGGAUGCUGGCGUAAUGGUCAUCAGCGACCCGUCUUGAAACACGGACCAAGGAGUCGUCUUCGUAUGCGAGUGUUCGGGUGUUAAACCCCUACGCGUAAUGAAAGUGAACGCAGGUGAGAGCUUCGGCGCAUCAUCGACCGAUCCUGAUGUUCUCGGAUGGAUUUGAGUAAGAGCAUACGGGGCCGGACCCGAAAGAAGGUGAACUAUGCCUGUAUAGGGUGAAGCCAGAGGAAACUCUGGUGGAGGCUCGCAGCGGUUCUGACGUGCAAAUCGAUCGUCAAAUAUGGGCAUGGGGGCGAAAGACUAAU